rnacentral:tRNA from 2 species
GGAGAGUUGGCAGAGUGGUCGAAUGCGGUGGUCUUGAAAACCAUUGACGGUUGAUCCCGUCCGGGGGUUCGAAUCCCUCACUCUCCGCCA